rnacentral:misc_RNA from 1 species
CCCAACUAUCCCUAUUAAUCAUUACGUCAAUCCUAGAAACCAACAAAAUAGAAUUAAACGUCCUAUUUCAUUAUUCCAUGCUAAUGUAUUCAAGCGUAAGCCUGCUUUAAACACUCUAAUUUUUUCAAAGUAACAGUCCUGAUUCCCCAUGACACCAAAUUAAUGACAUCGUGAUUCAUCAGAAAGGAGAAACCAAUAAUACCAGUACGUACCAAAGGCACGACCAGCAUAUUGAUCCCGAAAUUCAACUACGAGCUUUUUAACUGCAACAACUUUAAUAUACGCUAUUGGAGCUGGAAUUACCGCGGCUGCUGGCACCAGACUUGCCUCCAA